rnacentral:rRNA from 1 species
UACAGAGGGUGCGAGCGUUAUCCGGAUUUAUUGGGUUUAAAGGGUGCGUAGGCGGCCUAUUAAGUCAGGGGUGAAAGACGGUGGCUCAACCAUCGCAGUGCCUUUGAUACUGAUGGGCUUGAAUGAACCUGAGGUAGGCGGAAUGUGACAAGUAGCGGUGAAAUGCAUAGAUAUGUCACAGAACACCAAUUGCGAAGGCAGCUUACUAAAGUUUAAUUGACGCUGAGGCACGAAAGCGUGGGGAUCAAACAGG